AACCCCUCACUAGUAUGUUGAAGCUCUCAUCAUAUGGUGGAUUGUUGGUUUAGGUUUAGUUUUCUCCCUUUGAUAACAAAAGACCUUAAGGCUUUUGAUCAAAUCAAUUCACCAAUCUUUGAGAUUUUUACACCGAACUACGAGGUUUUGAUCCUAUCUUUGUGAUGGUACGUAGACAAUGGGUUCAUCCAUUCAAACAACAAAAUUGUAAAC
rnacentral:lncRNA from 1 species